ensembl:lincRNA Gm12678 predicted gene 12678
AAACUGUGGUCCCAAGUCUCUGUCCUUCAGGACACAGAUGGAUAAGCGAGGCACAAACCAGGCUCCAAGACUAUGAGUCUCAUGUGGAGAAGGUGAGCCACCAGGACCUUCAACGUUGUGGACAUAAGAAGGUAGAUUUAGGAUGAGGGAGAAGAAAUCUUGCCCAAAGAUCAGUUUAUUCCAUCGAAGAAACAAGCAUUCUAUGAGAAGACGUGCUCAGCAGGCUGGAGGGAUGCCUCGUGGUGGCGCCCAUGGCGGGCUUUGAUCCAGUAGACCUCUGACUUGCCCUUUGGCCUCUUCUAGCCCCUGCUCCAACCCUGCCGACACUCUCUGCGAAGGGAGCACAUCACUAGUCCCCCAGGGCCUGACAGACACACAGCUGAUGAUCACAGAUGAAGCUGUUUCCAGCUUGUUUGUCCCCUCAGCAUUGACUGGCCCGUAACAUAUACCUCAUCAUAGAGCCACAUGUGCCAGUCCUUCCCACAGAUCAUGGUGCCUUUAUACUCCCUGCAUCUGAUUGGAACUCUGACUGAUGUCCUGAGUAUUGACACAUGCCAGGGAAGUGUUCUCCCCAGAAGUUGGCCUGUCCUUGCUAAAGCUCCAUUUCCAUUGACUUGGGAGGCUAGCACAUCCAUGCUUCCCAGUCAGAAAACACUGUGAAGAUUCCUCUCGUGCAGGCUCUCCAUCCUAUU